UGGGGGAUAUUGCACAAUGGGCGAAAGCCUGAUGCAGCGACGCCGCGUGGGGGAUGAAGGCUUUCGGGUUGUAAACCUCUUUCGCUAUCGAACAAGGCCCGCUUAGGGUGGGUUGAGGGUAGGUGGAGAAGAAGCGCCGGCUAACUACGUGCCAGCAGCCGCGGUAAUACGUAGGGCGCGAGCGUUGUCCGGAAUUAUUGGGCGUAAAGGGCUUGUAGGCGGCUUGUUGCGCCUGCUGUGAAAACGCGGGGCUUAACUUCGCGCGUGCAGUGGGUACGGGCAGGCUUGAGUGUGGUAGGGGUGACUGGAAUUCCAGGUGUAGCGGUGGAAUGCGCAGAUAUCUGGAGGGAAAGCGAUGGAGAAGGCAGGUCACUGGGCCAUUACUGACGCUGAGGAGCGAAAGCAUGGGUAGCGAACAGG
rnacentral:rRNA from 1 species